UGGGUAACCUGCCUCAUACAGGGGGAUAACAGCUGGAGACGGCUGCUAAUACCGCAUAAGCGCACAGGACCGCAUGGUCUGGUGUGAAAAACUCCGGUGGUAUGAGAUGGACCCGCGUCUGAUUAGCUAGUUGGCAGGGUAACGGCCUACCAAGGCGACGAUCAGUAGCCGACCUGAGAGGGUGACCGGCCACAUUGGGACUGAGACACGGCCCAGACUCCUAGGGAGG
rnacentral:rRNA from 1 species